rnacentral:rRNA from 1 species
GACCAAGCCAUAAGGGCACACGGUGGAUGUCUUGGCGUCGAGAGGCGAUGAAAGACGUGGGAACCUGCGAAAAGCCACGGGGAGUUGGUAACCGAGCUGUGAUCCGUGGAUGUCUGAAUGGGGCAACCCACCCGCAAGGGUACUUCACUCUGAAUGCAUAGGGGUGAAGAGCGAACGUGGAGAACUGAAACAUCUCAGUACCCACAGGAAAGGAAAGCAACAGCGACUCCGUAAGUAGCGGCGAGCGAAAGCGGAUCAGCCAGCGGAAGGAUGAACCGGAUGGAAUGCCGGGCCGGAGAAGGUGAAAGCCCUGUAACCGGACGCUGGUCAGCCUUCAAGUAGAAUCGGACUCGUGAAACCCGGUUUGAAGAUGGGGGGUCCACCCUCCAAGGCUAAGUACUCCUCGACGACCGAUAGUGAACCAGUAAGGCGACUGAACGAUGAAAAGCACCCCGAUGAGGGGAAUGAAAGAGCACCUGAAACCGUGUGCUUACAAGCGGUCGGAGCGGCGCAAGCCGUGACGGCGUGCCUUUUGCAUAAUGAGCCGGCGAGUUAGCCUGUACGGCGAGCCUAAGGCCUUCCGGGCCGGAGGCGGAGCGAAAGCGAGUCUGAAAUGGGCGCCAAGUCGUACGGGCUAGACACGAAACCUUGUGAUCUACCGUUGGUCAGAGUGAAGGACGGGUAACUCCGUCUGGAGGCUCGAACGCGUGACCGUUGAAAAGGUCUGCGAUGAACUGACGGGAGGACUAAAAGUGUAAUCAAACUGGGAGAUAGCUUGUUCUCUCCGAAAUACCUUUAGGGGUAGCCUCAGGAGUCAGAACUCGGGGGUAGAGCGACUGGAUGGACUUAGGGGCCUACCCGGUCACCUGGUCCAACCAAACUCCGAAUACCGAGUUCGCUGUCCUGGGAGAAAGACUGCGAGUGACAAUAUCCGCGGUCAAAAGGAGAAAAAUCCAGAUCACCAGCUAAGGCCCCAAAUCCGUGCUAAGUUCGAAAGGAAGUCAGAUUGCAGUGACAUCCAGGAUGUUGGCUUAGAAGCAGCCACCAUUUAAAGAGUGCGUAACAGCUCACUGGACGAGGAAUCUGGCGCCGAUAAUUAUCGGGAAUAAGCAUGGAGCCGAAGCUGUGGGCUCGCAAGAGCGGUAGGAGAGCGUUGCAGGUGCGGUGAAGCGGUCCCGGAAGGGGUCGUGGAGCGCCCGCAAGUGAAUAUGCCGGCUUGAGUAACGAUAAAACGGGUGAAAAUCCCGUUCGCCGAAAGCCUAAGGAUUCCUGGGCAAGGUCAUUCCUCCCAGGGUUAGCCGGGACCUAAGACGAGGCCGAAAGGCGUAGUCGAUGGACAUCAGGUCAAUAUUCCUGAGCCGCUGUCGGGGACGAAUUCCAAAGCUCCACGGGACUGUCAGACGUCCAGGCCCUUGUGGCCGAUGUGGGGCGGCGGGGUUCCUAGAAAAGCCGACAGGUCAGCCCGUACCAAAACCGACACAGGUAGGCGAGGCGAAUAGCCUCAGGCGCUCGAGAGAACGGUCGUGAAGGAACUAGGCAAGUUAACCCCGUACGUUCGCAAGAAGGGGGCCCUACCCGCAAGGGAGGGCGCAGAGAAAAGGGUCUGGGAACUGUUUAUCAAAAACACAGCACUGUGCCAACACGCAAGUGGAUGUAUACAGUGUGACGCUUGCCCGAUGCCGGAAUGUCACGGAAGCGGGUUAGGGAAACCGAAGCUCGCGACCCAAGCACCGGUGAAUGGCGGCCGUAACUAUGACGGUCCUAAGGUAGCGAAGUUCCUUGUCGGGUAAGUUCCGACGCGCAUGAAUAGCGUAAUCACUGGAUCCCUGUCUCCACGACCGACUCGGUGAAAUAGUAGUGGCGGUGAAGAUGCCGCCUACCCGCAGCAAGACGGAAAGACCCCGUGGACCUUUACUAUAGAUUCUCAUUGGUCACGAGCAUGCUCUGCGUAGGAUAGGUGGGAGGCGUUGAUCCUGGAGUUCUGGCUCUGGGGGAGCCGACGUUGAAAUACCACCCUUUGACUAGUUGAGUCCUAACGGCGGCAAGCCAGACAGUGCAU